UUUGUACUCCCUCCAUCCCAAAAUUCUUGUCUUAAAUCUAUCUAAAUACGGGUGUAUCUAGUUACAUUUUAGUGUUAGAUACAUCCGUAUCUAAACAAAUGUAAGACAAGAAUUUUGGGGCAGAGGGAAUACUAC
rfam:Triticum aestivum genome assembly, contig: Triticum_aestivum_CS42_TGACv1_scaffold_505325_6BL